rfam:Gossypium hirsutum cultivar TM-1 unplaced genomic scaffold scaffold3050.1, whole genome shotgun sequence
UGUUAAAAUUUUUUAUCUAUUUGUACGGUUAAAAACUAGUGUGUCUGAUAAAAUAAUCAGACAGUGACAUGCGUCAUGCCACACGUAUUUCAUGCUAACGCACAAAGGCCAAUUUUUAACAAUAGAAAUAGAUAAAUUUUUUAACA